rnacentral:rRNA from 1 species
UGGGGAAUUUUGGACAAUGGGCGAAAGCCUGAUCCAGCAAUGCCGCGUGUGUGAAGAAGGCCUUCGGGUUGUAAAGCACUUUUGUCCGGAAAGAAAUCCUUGGCUCUAAUACAGUCGGGGGAUGACGGUACCGGAAGAAUAAGCACCGGCUAACUACGUGCCAGCAGCCGCGGUAAUACGUGGGGUGCAAGCGUUAAUCGGAAUUACUGGGCGUAAAGCGUGCGCAGGCGGUUUGCUAAGACCGAUGUGAAAUCCCCGGGCUCAACCUGGGAACUGCAUUGGUGACUGGCAGGCUAGAGUAUGGCAGAGGGGGGUAGAAUUCCACGUGUAGCAGUGAAAUGCGUAGAGAUGUGGAGGAAUACCGAUGGCGAAGGCAGCCCCCUGGGCCAAUACUGACGCUCAUGCACGAAAGCGUGGGGAGCAAAACAGGAUUAGAUACCCUGGUAGUCCACGCCCUAAACGAUGUCAACUAGUUGUUGGGGAUUCAUUUCCUUAGUAACGUAGCUAACGCGUGAAGUUGACCGCCUGGGGAGUACGGUCGCAAGAUUAAAACUCAAAUGAAUUGACGGGGUCAUAGCUGUUUCCU